rnacentral:rRNA from 1 species
AGCCUGAACGCUGGCGGCGUGGCUAAGACAUGCAAGUCGUACGGUGUAGCAAUACACAGUGGCGAACGGGCGAGUAAUGAAUCGCUAAUGUACCCCGGACUCUGGGAUAGCUGACCGAAAGGGCAGGUAAUACCAGAUGACAUAACCCUUCCGCAUGGUUGGGUUCUCAAAGGUCCGCCGGUCUGGGAGCAGGCGAUUUUGUAUCAGCUAGUUGGUGAGGUAACGGCUCACCAAGGCGACGACGCAUAGCCGGACUGAGAGGUUGGCCGGCCACAUUGGGACUGAGACACUGCCCAGACUCCUACGGGGGGCUGCAGUAACGAAUCUUCCGCAAUGCACGAAAGUGUGACGGAGCGACGCCGCGUGUGGGACGAAGUUCUUCGGAAUGUAAACCACUGUCAGGGGUAAGAAAGUUCUGAUCUACCCCAGAGGAAGGCACGGCUAACUCUGUGCCAGCAGCCGCGGUAA